rnacentral:rRNA from 1 species
UACCGCAUACGUCCUACGGGAGAAAGGGGGCAACUUGUUGCUCUCGCUAUUAGAUGAGCCUAAGUCGGAUUAGCUAGUUGGUGGGGUAAAGGCCUACCAAGGCGACGAUCUGUAGCUGGUCUGAGAGGAUGAUCAGCCACACCGGGACUGAGACACGGCCCGGACUCCUACGGGAGGCAGCAGUGGGGAAUAUUGGACAAUGGGGGCAACCCUGAUCCAGCCAUGCCGCGUGUGUGAAGAAGGCCUUUUGGUUGUAAAGCACUUUAAGCAGUGAAGAAGACCUAACGGUUAAUACCCGUUAGCGAUGACAUUAGCUGCAGAAUAAGCACCGGCUAACUCUGUGCCAGCAGCCGCGGUAAUACAGAGGGUGCAAGCGUUAAUCGGAAUUACUGGGCGUAAAGCGAGCGUAGGUGGCUUGAUAAGUCAGAUGUGAAAUCCCCGGGCUUAACCUGGGAACUGCAUCUGAUACUGUCAGGCUAGAAUAGGUGAGAGGAAGGUAGAAUUCCAGGUGUAGCGGUGAAAUGCGUAGAGAUCUGGAGGAAUACCGAUGGCGAAGGCAGCCUUCUGGCAUCAUAUUGACACUGAGGUUCGAAAGCGUGGGUAGCAAACAGGAUUAGAUACCCUGGUAGUCCACGCCGUAAACGAUGUCUACUAGUCGUUGGGUCCCUUGAGGACUUAGUGACGCAGCUAACGCAAUAAGUAGACCGCCUGGGGAGUACGGCCGCAAGGUUAAAACUCAAAUGAAUUGACGGGGGCCCGCACAAGCGGUGGAGCAUGUGGUUUAUUUCGAUGCAACGCGAAGAACCUUACCUGGUCUUGACAUAUCUAGAAUCCUGCAGAGAUGCGGGAGUGCCUUCGGGAAUUAGAAUACAGGUGCUGCAUGGCUGUCGUCAGCUCGUGUCGUGAGAUGUUGGGUUAC